rnacentral:misc_RNA from 1 species
UGAGGUACAGGGAGAAGCGGAAGAGCCGGAAGUUCGAGAAGACGGUCCGGUACGAGGGCCGGAAGGUGUAUGCCGAGCAGAGGCCAAGGGUGGAUGGGAAGUUUGCCCGACCGGUGGGAUCCAGUGCCGAAGGGGCGGCGGUGGUUGGCGGCGAUGAGAGUGGGUUGCCGGAUGGGUACUUUCAAGCAAUGGCGAGCGCGGG